CAUUGGUCGCUUCUGUUGUCAGUCAGCGCUGUGACGUUGUAUCAGCAUUUCUGGGCCGGGGUUGUGUGCAGCUGUUGAAUCCUCAGCUCAUUCCUCCUCCUCCCGCUGCUGCUGCUUGUGCUGCUCACUCACCAACUCUUUAUUCACCUUCCGGAGCAGAUCUGGAUUUAUUGGGGCAGCCAUGCAGAAAUACUACAAAGCAACAUAAGACCUGCCUGUGUAUAAAUAUAUGGAGUUCAACUCUCUGCUAAUCCUCCUGGAGGCAGCUGAAUAUUUUGAAAGAAGAGACCGAGACGCUGUAACAGACUGUUUAAGAUCAUCUCAGGAGUAUAGGAGCAUAUUUUUGGCCUGUUGUACUUUCAUGAAUGGCACCCUAAAUUCAGAACUAAAGUCAAGCUCCCGGUCUAGGCUCACUCUUCUGCCUUUAGCAGCCGCGUUUGGCUUCUGGAGGAGCCCUCAUUUACUCAGAUGCUGCCAUGUGAGAGGAACAGGACAGAAGUUCUGAGCAAACAAAGGGGCUGACCGUAGUGGAUUUGGAACUUCAAGAAAACACUUUAAAGUUAAAUGGCAGCUUAACAGGAGGAGGGUGGUGGGGGUUGGUCCAGGCAGAGUUCAGGCAAAGUCAGUUAUACAGGCAAGGGUCAAUCCAGGCAGAGUUCAGGCAAAGUUUGUUAUACAAGCAAGGGUCAGUUCUGGCAAAGUCAGUUAUACAGGCAAGGAUAGGCAACAGGAAUCAGAACAGAAAAUGCACUCAGAUACUAUGUAAAAUAGACCUAACAAUGUGCAAAGAGUUUUGCCCCGAGGCCCCUUUAAAUAUUUAAACUUUGGCGCCAUGCGCACGCCAUAGGAGGAGGAACUGAAGCAGGAGAAGGACUAGGGCUGCGGCAUCCCCGCCGGCCCCUAAUCUCCACUAGACUACCAGGGUGAGUCGUUACAGACACCAUUAGACAGUGGUUCUGAGAGCAGGCAUUGAGAAGACCUCCCCAUAAUACAGAAACACUAGAAUGCAGCUCAUCCCAUUUUUAUUGGGUGCACAUAUGUGUGGCUUUUAAUACAUACUACACAACUUAACCCCAGAACUCCAAUAUAUAGCGCUCAGGGAAAACUUUUUGCAAAGGUAACAUUUAGUGAAAAGAGAAACUCGUAGUUAAAAAGUAUGCAUAAGCUGACAUGCCCCGUCAAGGCAGCGUCCAUGCGUCAGUCCUAACGAAGUGAAAAAAGAGAAUAUUAUCUUUGGGGGGAGAAAGACAAACCUGCUUUUCUCUUUAUUUAGCAUGAUCUCUUUCAAAGACAUGAUUUGUAACUAAAAUUGUCUCUUUUACUAAAUGUUACCUUUAAGUUGUGCAAAAAUAAGUCCCAAUGAGUAGUUAGUUAUCUGCCAGAGGCUCAGGCUGUGGCAAUAUUUAGAAUCCUUGCUGAAUCGCUAUAUAUAUAUUUUUUUAAAAGGACCAGCACUCCAAAGUUAAUGAACCUUUGAUAUUUAUUUUUCGAACUUCUGCAUCCAAUUUUUUCGGACCACAUUAGAGAUUUUAUAAAGGACAAAAUACAAGUGUAUAAGUGAUCAUUUAAAUACAUCUAGCCCCUCCCAAUUCAAUACUGGUGUCAAUGAUGUCAUACAAGGUACUUAAUUAAGCAUUAGUGAAAUAAACAUGUAACUUCAA